UACGGAGGGCGCAAGCGUUGUUCGGAAUCAUUGGGCGUAAAGUGCGUGUAGGCGGUCUGGUCAGUCGGGUGUGAAAUACCGGAGCUCGACUCCGGAACUGCAUUCGAUACUGCCAGGCUAGAGUCCCGGAGAGGGUGGUGGAAUUCCCGGUGUAGAGGUGAAAUUCGUAGAUAUCGGGAGGAACACCAGCGGCGAAGGCGGCCACCUGGACGGUGACUGACGCUGAGACGCGAAAGCGUGGGGAGCUAACAGG
rnacentral:rRNA from 1 species